CUCUGACAGCCGCUCUCCCUGUCCUCCAGGAGCUCACUUACAUCCGGCCGUGAGCUCCUCGAGGCCAGAGCCCGCGUCUGCCUCCACUCAGCGCCA
rnacentral:pre_miRNA from 10 species